rnacentral:rRNA from 1 species
UACGGAGGGUGCAAGCGUUAUCCGGAUUUAUUGGGUUUAAAGGGUCCGUAGGCGGACUGUUAAGUCAGUGGUGAAAGCCCACAGCUCAACUGUGGAAUUGCCAUUGAUACUGGCAGUCUUGAGUGCAAAUGAUGUUGGCGGAAUGUGCAGUGUAGCGGUGAAAUGCUUAGAUAUUGCACAGAACACCUAUUGCGAAGGCAGCUGGCAAAUUUGCAACUGACGCUGAGGGACGAAAGCGUGGGGAUCAAACAGG